AUACUAACAAUCCGCGAUUUUGUUGUUUACAUUUUUGGUGGUUAUGAUUCUUUCCGUACCUUUUUGUUUUUUUGUGAAAAACUUGUUUGUGGUCAAAACUCUAAGGAAAAGAAUGAGCCUAAGUGUUGCCUUAUGUACAAGUGAAUUUAAAAGAUUUAAAAGUGGUUUCUAUAGGACUCCCAUUCACAAACUUGUAUAAUUUCUGCUUUCAAUACUUGCUCCUUCACGAAACUACAAAUAUGGCAAAUAUGAGGACCUAAUAGGACCUUACACGCACUUAAAUAGCUACAUAGGAAAGAUAUUUGGGUAAUUUGUUUUAGUGUACAAGAAUUACACGAAAUAUAAGAAAACUAUUAAGUUGCAAGUUUUACUAGAACAAUCACAAGCAAUACCCCUUUACAAUUCCAAAACCUUGUAAAGGUCAAUAUGGGAAAGUUUUCGUUUGUCAUCACGCUUAGUGAAACCGAAAUUUCCUUUCGGUUGGUCAAAAAUUACAGAAAUUAUUACAGCUGAAAGUGGGGAAUUACCAGAAUCAGUUCAGCAGCAAUAGGAAGAAUUUAAACGAUAAAUCUGCAGGAUAUUUUUGGAAAGUCUGAAGGCAUUGCAGUAAAUCUUCGAGUAUUACCAGGAGUUCUAGGCAACUUUUCAAAAUUUUGGGGUAUUUCAUCUGUAGGUCACCUACUGCAGUACGUACACAUUUUGACACUGAUUAAAUAGAUAAAUACUGAUUUUGUAAAUCUGCUUGUUGGAUUCGGGACAACUUAAGUAAGAAAAAUAUUAUAUGCACAACUUGGGAAAAAAGAUAUUGAUUAGUCUCUGAGUAUUUUCCCAACCCUUCCUUGGCUUGAGAGUAAGCUGUGUCCUAGACUCUUUACCAAAAGAUAAAAUUGUAAAGAAACAACAACAUUGCUUGUCAAAAAUGGAGCUGCCAGGGAGGCUGAUAGCUUUAGAAGAGCAUCCAUAUGUGGGGGUCACAUCACUCCUUUAAGAUAUAGAAAAGGUGGUAAAGUCUUGAUAAAGUAGGCAGUGCAGUGUCUUUUGUGCAGUUGUAAAUCGGGUUACUUGUUUUCUGCUCAUUCUAUUUGCCUAUCAUACUUAACAGCUCAUAUUUAGCGUGCCAAAUGGUAUUCCUCAAAAAUAUUAUUUUGUUGGUAAUAUGCUACCAACUUUUUUUCGGUCUAAAAUAUUGUUAUUUUUCCUCCAUAAUUUGUGACUGAAAAUUUUCCAUCUUGAACAUAAGAGAAAUUUUUGUUUUUUUUUUUUACCUUUUUUAGGCUUUAUUUCCAGCAUGUCAAAAUAAUAACUUCUUUCCUAGGUAGAACUAGAGCAGACACCAGUAGAUCUUUAAUCUUGGUAGUCAAAACAACAUUACAAGUUAUAGAGAAGCCUGGCACAGAAUAACCAGCAGUCGUCAGUUUUUAAAAAGAACUUAACGCACAGUAACAAAUUUGUCAACAAAUUCUUCUGUUUAAAUUUUGUUUCUUAUUUGGAGCUAAUGAAACUUUUACUGUAGUUAUUCUACUGAUAAAUAACGACAUUUAAAUGUAUUAUAAAUGAACAUUUCUUUUAUUUUUUUCAUGUUCUUUUUUGUAAUUUUUAAAGGUGGUGAUCCUCUCAAAUCAAGUAAUAUAAAAGUUCCUUGAAAAUAAAAAAUAAAUAUUAUUAUGCUAUUAAAAAAGGCAGCAUAUAUUUUUAUUUAAUUUAUUAUUAUAAGCAACAUUGUAUUUUAUUCUUUUCAAUAAAGGCUUUAAUACAUAA